rnacentral:lncRNA from 1 species
GAGAAUUUUUGUCUUUAUAAGAAGAGGAAGAUCGACCAGAGCUCUCUCUCUCUUCUCUAGGCAUGUGCUCUGAGAAAAGGUCAUCUGAGGACAAAGUACCCGUCUGCAAGCCAGGAAGAGAGCCCUUGCCAGAAACUAAACCCCGCUGGAAACUUGAUUUUGCGCUUUCCAGCCUCUAGAACUAAUAUGUGAAAAACAUUUAAAUCAGAAAGUAAAUGACAGGAUGAUUUGCAAGACACAGGGAUGUAAAAUUAAAAAGCCUCUCGAGCUCCAAAGCUCAUCAGAGUACAUCGUUACAUUUUCGGGACUUUUGCUACCUGGCUCACAUCACUUUGGUAGCUUGAACUCUGCCAUGAUUGGGAAUAUUUACACCACAAAAAUGGGCUAAUCUCCUAGGAAUGGAUUCUAGGACGGCAUCAGCAUUGCCAUAAUAAAUACGCAUUUUAUGAUUAC